rnacentral:rRNA from 1 species
AGGUCUUGACAUCCCGAUGCUAUUUCUAGAGAUAGAAAGUUACUUCGGUACAUCGGUGACAGGUGGUGCAUGGUUGUCGUCAGCUCGUGUCGUGAGAUGUUGGGUUAAGUCCCGCAACGAGCGCAACCCCUAUUGUUAGUUGCCAUCAUUCAGUUGGGCACUCUAGCGAGACUGCCGGUAAUAAACCGGAGGAAGGUGGGGAUGACGUCAAAUCAUCAUGCCCCUUAUGACCUGGGCUACACACGUGCUACAAUGGCAGGUACAGAGGGCUGCGAAGCCGCGAGGCGGAGCGAAUCCCAGAAAAACCUGUCUCAGUCCGGAUUGAAGUCUGCAACUCGACUUCAUGAAGGCGGAAUCGCUAGUAACCGCGAAUCAGCAGGUCGCGGUGAAUACGUUCCCGGGCCUU